AAUAUUGGACAAUGGGCGAAAGCCUGAUCCAGCCAUGCCGCGUGUGUGAAGAAGGUCUUCGGAUGGUAAAGCACUCUAAGUUGGGAGGAAGGGCAGUAAGUUAAUACCUUGCUGUUUUGACGUUACCGACAGAAUAAGCACCGGCUAACUUCGUGCCAGCAGCCGCGGUAAUACGAAGGGUGCAAGCGUUAUUCGGAAUUACUGGGCGUAAAGCGCGCGUAGGUGUUUUUUUAAGGUGGGAGUGAAAACCCCGGGCUAAACCUGGGAACUGCUUUCAAAACUGGCAGGCUGGAGUAUGGCAGAGGGUAGUGGAAUUUCCUGUGUAGCGGUGAAAUGAGUAGAUAUAGGAAGGAACACCAGUGGAGAAGGCGACCACCUGGGCUAAUACUGACACUGAGGUGCGAAAGCGUGGGGAGCAAACA
rnacentral:rRNA from 1 species